rnacentral:rRNA from 1 species
UACGUAGGGGGCAAGCGUUGUCCGGAAUUAUUGGGCGUAAAGAGCGUGUAGGCGGUCCGGUAAGUCAGCUGUGAAAGUCAAGGGCUCAACCCUGGGAUGCGGGUGGAUACUGCCGGGCUCGAGUCCGGAAGAGGCGAGUGGAAUUCCCGGUGUAGCGGUGAAAUGCGCAGAUAUCGGGAGGAACACCAAUGGCGAAGGCAGCUCGCUGGGACGUGACUGACGCUGAGACGCGAAAGCGUGGGGAG